rnacentral:misc_RNA from 1 species
UCUCCGUAGGUGAACCUGCGGAGGGAUCAUUACAGAGUUCAUGCCCUCCGGGUAGAUCUCCCACCCAGUGCUAUCACUACUCUCGUUGCUUUGGCGGGCCGCUGGGCCCUGCCCGGCCGCCGGCCCCGGCUGGCGCGUGCCCGCCAGAGACCUUCACAGACUCUGAAUGUUAGUGUCGUCCGAGUAACUAUACAAUCGUUAAAACUUUCAACAACGGAUCUCUUGGUUCUG